rnacentral:rRNA from 1 species
CGCGUAGGCGGCUCGGUAAGUCUGGAGUGAAAGUCCUGCUUUUAAGGUGGGAAUUGCUUUGGAUACUGUCGGGCUUGAGUGCAGGAGAGGUUAGUGGAAUUCCCAGUGUAGCGGUGAAAUGCGUAGAGAUUGGGAGGAACACCAGUGGCGAAGGCGACUAACUGGACUGUAACUGACGCUGAGGCGCGAAAGUGUGGGGAAGCAAACA